GAUGAACGCUGGCGGCGUGCUUAACACAUGCAAGUCGAACGGAGAGGCCCAAGCUUGCUUGGGUGCUCGAGUGGCGAACGGGUGAGUAACACGUGGGUGAUCUGCCCUGCACUUUGGGAUAAGCCUGGGAAACUGGGUCUAAUACCGGAUAGGACCAUCGUUUAGUGUCGGUGGUGGAAAGUUUUUCGGUGUGGGAUGAGCUCGCGGCCUAUCAGCUUGUUGGUGGGGUAAUGGCCUACCAAGGCGUCGACGGGUAGCCGGCCUGAGAGGGUGUACGGCCACAUUGGGACUGAGAUACGGCCCAGACUCCUACGGGAGGCAGCAGUGGGGAAUAUUGCACAAUGGGCGCAAGCCUGAUGCAGCGACGCCGCGUGGGGGAUGACGGCCUUCGGGUUGUAAACUCCUUUCGCCAAGGACGAAGCGUUUUGUGACGGUACUUGGAGAAGAAGCACCGGCUAACUACGUG
rnacentral:rRNA from 1 species